GGAUUGAUAGCUCAGUCGGUUAGAGCACCCGCCUGAUAAGCGGGAGGUCGGUGGUUCGAGUCCACUUCAAUCCACCA
rnacentral:tRNA from 4 species